GACGAACGCUGGCGGCGUGCUUAACACAUGCAAGACGAACGGAAAGGCCCUGCUUUUGUGGGGUGCUCGAGUGGCGAACGGGUGAGUAACACGUGAGUAACCUGCCCUUGACUUUGGGAUAACUUCAGGAAACUGGGGCUAAUACCGGAUAGGAGCUCCUGCUGCAUGGUGGGGGUUGGAAAGUUUCGGCGGUUGGGGAUGGACUCGGGGCUUAUCAGCUUGUUGGUGGGGUAGUGGCUUACCAAGGCUUUGACGGGUAGCCGGCCUGAGAGGGUGACCGGCGACAUGGGGACUGAGAUACGGCCCAGACUCCUACGGGAGGCAACAGUGGGGAGUAUGACACAGUGGGCGGGAGCCUGAUGCAGCGACGCCGCGUGCGGGAUGACGGCCUUCGGGUUGUAAACCGCUGUCGCCUGUGACGAAGCGGGAGUGACGGUAAUGUGUAAAGAAGCACCGGCUAACUACGUG
rnacentral:rRNA from 1 species